CGUGGAUCCCCCCCCCAAAUCUUCAACGGUCAUUUCUCUUGUCUCGGAAGCAGAUAGAGGCCUUUGUCUUUUAAAAACCAAACAUGAGUGGGCCUUUUGCUGGACUGCUGAGAGCUCGACAGGCUCUUGCUCCCAGAGCAGGCGUGGUGAUUCAACACGCGAGUUAUAUCCGUGGCAAGCCACCUAAAGAUAACAUUGGGCCGGCGGACUCUAUGUUCGUGUUGACUGUGCUGACUGUGGCCCUCCUCGGACCUUCUGGUUGGAUACUUGCCCACUUGGACCAUUAUAAAACCCGUGGCUGAUAGACAAGCACCUAAAGCAUCGUUAUACACUUGUUAAAGCAUGUAUGCCUGCCGGCUGUUAAAAUUGCCAUUUGAACCUUUCGGACGUUUUGUUAACACAAUAAUAAAUGUAAGUUUUUCAAUCUAA